ACCUGGAAGUUGAAGGUGCAGGCUAAAAUAAUAAUUAUUCAUCAAUGGUAUUUAUUUCCAUUUUUCCUGACUUCCUUUUCCACCACUAGUCAAGAACCGGCCAUAUUUAAAAUUAUGCUGGUUGACAUUUUCUCAAGGCACCCUUUGAAUAACCCUUCAAAGCCAGAAAAAUUUAUGUAUUUGGAAAUUAAAUUGUGAUGAGCUUGUCUGUCAGCUGCAUGAUGUUUCCCCACUCAUUCUGUUCUGGGUGAUAAAUCCAUAAUCACUGAAGUCAAGAGCUGUUCAUUACAUAUAUUCAUAUAACCUGGUCCGAGGCCCAGACUAUCUGAAUUGGCAGUAGCAAUACCAGCUACUAUUUAUUUACCUCUUGCUUUGUGCUGUGGCUGGGAUCAGUGUUUUACAUCAUUUUGUUCUUUAAUCCGUAUCAACACCUUUGAGAUAGGUUUUAGAGGUAAGAAAGGUGGGGCUCAGAGAAAUUUAAAACAACUCAUCCAAAGGGCAAGAUGAGGUAGGAUGAAAAGAUAUGUCUGUUUCCCUCAGCACCGGAAUUCCGUACUACACCGUGGGCCAGCUCCUUAGAGCCUGCCUGGGCCCGUGGCUAGGUGGUAUCAGGGCAGAACUUAAGACCCACGAUUCCUGGCCCCCAGCAUAAUUUUUUUUUAUGACCUCACACAUGGGGCAAAAGGAAAGCCGAAAACAUUAAUAAUUAAUUCUGGUAAAAAGAGAGGGUGGUGAUAUGGUUUGGCUGUGUCCCCUCCCAAAUCUCAUCUUGAAUUGUAGUUUCCAUAAUCCCCACAUGUCCUGGGAGGGACCAGGAGGAGAAAACUGAAUCAUGGGGCAGUUUCCCCCAUUUUGCCGUCCUGUUCUCGUGAUAGUGAGCGAGUUCUCACAAGAGCUGAUGGUUUUUAUAAGGGGCAUUCCCUGCCCAGUGCCCCCGCCCCACCACCUUCGCUCUGCGUUAUUUUCCUGC
rnacentral:lncRNA from 10 species